UUGCAACUCGAGAACCUGGGGUUGAGAUAGUUGUUCAGUCCCUUUCUUUCCCUUCGUUCUCACGCUCCGUGGUUUGAACGUCAACCCUCAACCUUCCUUUUUCCCGUUCUCGUGCUGGACGCGAGUAGGGCAUCUCUAUUUUUUUUGUUUUUUUUGCAAUUCAGUCCUCAUACACAUUCUACCUUUUGAAUAGCAAAAAAGAGUGUCUCAUGGGAACGGCCGGGCUGCAAUUGCUGAACGGUGGUGGCGCCGGCCGGGCUGGCAUGUGCGUACCCAUAGUUGGAAACCUUAUUCGGAGUUCCGUCUUUUGAUGCUGCUGUUGCUCCGCUCGCGAGUUUUGUCUCUUCUUUCUUUCCUCCUUCUUCGCAUGGCUGCAGCCCAAAAAGCAGUUUUCCACCUCCAAAACCAAAACGGCUUCCGGAACAGGCGAAACGGAUGGUGAUGGAAUCUGCGACAACCUGAGUGUUGAACAGUUGGGAUCGAAAGCGCUUUACGUAGCAAUAGUUCAGCGAUGAAUGUGCAGCGAUGAAAGACCGGAGGAACGGCCGACGUCUUCAGGAAUCAGGAUGAAGACGAGAUAGCACAGGGUCGUCACUUUCAUCUUUUGCCUACUUCAUCCAUACGAGAUAGCAUAGCUUUUUUUUUUUAGGGUAAACCGCGAGCUUUAUUGAUUAAGAAGACAAAGUACAAUCAAGAUCAACUUGUUUUGCAAUACAACUAGACACUUGUCUCAGCCACACAGCUGAAUGCACAUUUCUCCUAGCUAGUUGUGCUAAAAGAUGCGCCACAAAAUUUCGCUCA